rnacentral:rRNA from 1 species
UACAGAGGGGGCAAGCGUUGUCCGGACUGACUGGGCGUAAAGCGCACGCAGGCGGUUGUGGGCGUCGGUGCUGAAAGUCCACUGCUUAACAGCGGGAUGCGUGCCGAUACGCCAUAACUGGAGCGAUGCAGAGGCCAGUGGAAUUGCCGGUGUAGUGGUGAAAUGCGUAGAGAUCGUAAGGAAGGCCAGUGGCGAAGGCGAGUUCCUGGACAGUGACUGACGCUGAGGCACGAAGGCCAGGGGAGCAAACGGG